GAUUCUGAUUACUUAGAGGCUUUUGAAGACUCUUCAUUUUGUUGUUUUUGUUCUCUCUCUAAUCUUGAAUUACCAUAUUGACAUCUUUCCUCUAUCCAAUUAAAAAUGUCUUUGAAUACAAUCUCCAAAUUUUCAGGUGGCUCACCAUACAAUAAACCAUGCCACAUUCCAGGGUACAAUUUCAGUGUCUUAUCUUUGCUUGAUGCCACUUCAUGUAAUUGUUUGCUCACUGAUGGAUCAGUCACUCUAUCUUCCUCACCAUGUAAAAUCAAAAAAGGAAGUGAAACUUCAUCUAGUGUUUCCUCAAUUUUUGUAGCAACCCUGCUAAGUUCA
rnacentral:lncRNA from 1 species